rnacentral:tRNA from 1 species
UUUUAAGAAACCAAUAAGCGGUAUAUCACUGUUAAUGAUAAAUAGAUUUCUAUAAUCCUUAAAAU